rfam:Stegodyphus mimosarum contig117398, whole genome shotgun sequence.
CAAAAGGUUCUUUUCAGAACCAAUUUUUAGUCCACAGGGAUUUAGU